rnacentral:misc_RNA from 1 species
AGGGUCGGGGAGCUUCGAGGGGUACGGGACGAAGCUGCAGAAGGAUUUGGAGGGGAAGAGGGCUUGGGUUGAUUACUUGUUUCAUAAUGUUUGGCCGGAGAAGAGGGUCAACUACAAGUUCUGGCCCAAGAACCCUAAAGACUACAGGAAGGCAAACGAAGAAUACACCAAGUACUUGCUGGGAGUUAUGGACGAGAUGCUGAAAAGUUUAUCAGUUGGUUUAGGGCUAGACGAACAUGUCUUGAAGGAAGCCUCCGGUGGGGAGGACAUAGAACUGCUAAUGAAAAUCAAUUACUACCCUCGAUGCCCUCGUCCAG